CGCGCGCCCCUUCCCGGACAGUUCCUCUCGGCGCCCCCGAGUCCUCCCCGCGCGCCGCUUCCCGGGUGGGCCCUUCCACCAGAACCCCCUGGUAGAUCCUCCCCUGGUGCCCUGGGGGUAGAGGGGAGAUCCUCCACAAGGGCCAUUUCCCUGGUGAUCCCUCCCUGUGCCCCACAGGUGAGUCCUGCCGUAGCUCUCCAGGGGUUCCUCCUGAUGCUGGGGUCCUCCGGCAUUCCUCCCUGAGCCCCCCAAGGGCCCUGAAGCUCAGCGGCCCAGCCCUGGCCUCGGGGUCCCCACCCCACACCUCCCUUCCAGGCCUAACCUUUGCCCCCGACACCAGGCAGGGCGUGUCCUUGGCCUUCGCCGCCCAGCCCGCGUGGCAUCUCUGGACAGGUGGUCGUGCGCGCCUUGGUGUGGGCAGGCUCCGUAGCCGGCAAAGCCUCCCUGAACCGUGACCUGGUGAGAAGGCCGCAGAGGAGGUGCCUGUGCCCAGAGGCCACCUCCAAAGACCCCACCUGAGGCUGGAACCCAGCGCCUGCUGACCCCGCCAGCCCCAACAGGGCUGGAGUCCAGGAGCGGCCGUGCUCUUUCCGCAGUGAGGCAGCUGCCUUCUCUUCCCACCACCUGUCAGGAUGCCUUCCCGUGUGUGCUUGUGCACAGGUCUAAGGAGAGGAGAGUCCAGUGAGUGACCCAGACGCCCCAGCCAGGAAGAGCAUGAGGAAAGCAAAGCUGCAGCCUGAGAUCUCCUUCCACCAACUCCUGGCAUGGCCAGAAAGUUAGCCAGAAACACCAGAAAGUGCCAGGCAGCUAGGAAGCAUGGGGAGAGCCCCCUGAAGCUGCGUGUGUAGUGCCUGCUUCCGCUGCCAUCCCAGAAAUGGACGAGCUUCACCCUGAGAACCCAGCCACACCACUGGGACACAUCCUGACAGUGACAUGCACACUCUUCCCUGGCCCCAGCCUGGAGAGGAGCCUCCUGAAGACACCAGCCUUUGCUCCUUCUCCCAGUGGGAGUGGAGAGAACUGACUGCUGGAGUGGAGACAGUCAAGGCUGUCCUUCUGAGGGAGCACAGCACAGGGUCUGGUGUCCCAGGGAGGCAAUCUGAAAUUCAAGCCAGGCCUCCCCAGCGGAGAGGACACACCCCUCACCAUGCAGAGUGACGUUUAGUAAACUCUCAAAAGAGAGCACAGAGCCCCACUCCUCCAGCCGACCCAUACUCUGCCUCCCCACUCCAGACCAGUGAACAAGGUGGAUUGCCCUUAAGCCAGCUCAGAGGCAAAGUCCAAAGACCUCAGGUGAGUCAAACAAUAAAAACAAAGAAUUAAGAAGAAUCCAGCUGGGUGCGGUGGCUCACGCCUGUAAUCCCAGCACUUUGGGAGGCUGAGGCGGGAGGAUCACGAGCAGGAGGUCGAGACCAUCCUGGCUAACACGGUGAAACCCCGUCUCUAC
rnacentral:lncRNA from 10 species